GAUAAACGCUGGCGGCGUGCAUGAGACAUGCAAGUCGAACGAAGGAUCGGGCUUGCUCGAUCCUUAGUGGCGGACGGCUGAGUAACGCGUAGGUGACCUACCCCGAAGUGGGGAAUAACUGCCCGAAAGGGUGGCUAAUAACGCAAGUGGUCGCAAGGUCAUUCGUGCGAGUAAAGCCGCAAGGCGCUUCGGGAGGGGCCUGCGUCUGAUUAGCUCGUUGGGGGGGUAAUGGGUCACCAAGGCGACGAGCGGUAGGGGGUCUGAGAGGACGAACACGCCGACUGGAACUGAGACACGGUCCACACUGCUACGGGAGGCCGCAGUUGGUAAUAUUGGACAAUGGGCGCAAGCCUGAUCCAGCCCUACCGCGUUGGUGCAGUAGGCGUUCUGGUUGUAAAGCCCUUUGGUUGGGGAAGACAAGCCGCAGGUUAAUACCCCGCUGUUCCGACGGUACCCAAAGAAUAAGCACCGGCUAAAUCCGUG
rnacentral:rRNA from 1 species